AGAUCAAUGAACUGUACGUAAUGUUGUGUGGUUGCAGACUUGUACAAAUCUUCAUGAGAGCUGAGCAUUAAUGAAGGGACGAAAGAAGUAAAGACAAACAAAAUGGGACGAACUAAAAAGACCUUACCGUGCUUAAACUCCUGUUUAUUGGUGCUGCUCUUGCUUCGCUCAUCUUUGAAGACUCACUGCUGUCGCUUUGUCGUCUUGCGUUUGGUGUAUUUCUCGAAUCAACGUACCGUCGUUGCUUGUUCCGAUUUGAUUUAUGACCAUUGCCUAUAGAUAUUGUUAAUAGUUAACACACAUACGUUCAUUGAUAGUAGAAUUUCACGUUCAAACCUUUAGUUGGCAAGAUUACUGUUUUCACAAAUGACUUUGUACACCUGUACCAAUCGGAGACAGUUAAAUUGCGCAGACUACGGGGACGAUCCGUAAUCGCUUGUUGUCUAAAAUCUGGAAACGCAUCCCUUUGUACAGCCUCUCUGGGCGAGCGUGGUGGAUCUCUGUAACGCUCACGAACAUUACGUUCAGUGGAUGGUUGUCUAUUCGUGGACAUAAGGUUUCGCGUCGCAGCUACAACAUCAGUUCUAUUUCUAUUGUAAGCAGUCGACGCACGAAUAGGAUCCAAGUAAUAGCGCACCCCAAGUACCUGUAAAGUCGACUUGAUGAAUAUCAAUCCAAUCUUUCUCUGGCGACGUGCGGCCCAAUGAUUAGCCCGUCUUCCUCUAAACCAGAGGUUAUGCAUGGCUCGUUGCUACUAUACCAGUGUGGGCGUAUGUGUCUUUGAGCAAGACACUUUGCA